rnacentral:rRNA from 1 species
UCCAGCAGCUAUAUCAUCCUGCAACUCACAACUGGCAGCCCACUGAUGCUCAGCAGGCGUGAGUCUGGUCUGUACCUGGGUGGGAGACCUCCUGGGAAAGCAUAGGUUGCUGCUGGAA